CUUGGGGGGCAAGUCUGGUGCCAGCAGCCGCGGUAUAUUCCAGCUCCAAUAGCGUAUAUUAAAGUUGUUGCAGUUAAAAAGCUCGUAGUUGAAUUUCGGGACUAAUAUGUCGGUCGUACUUUGUACGUACUAGCAUUAUUGGUUUCUCCCUUCUGACGAACCACGAUGUCAUUAAUUUGGUGUCAUGGGAAAUCAGGACUGUUACUUUGAAAAAAUUAGAGUGUUUAAAGCAAGCUCGCGCUUGAAUACAUUAGCAUGGAAUAAUGAAAUAGGACGUUUGAUUCUAUUUUGUUGGUUUCUAGGAUCGACGUAAUGAUUAAUAGGGAUAGUUGGGGGCAUUAGUAUUCAAUUGUCAGAGGUGAAAUUCUUGGAUUUAUUGAAGACUAACUACUGCGAAAGCAUUUGCCAAGGAUGUUUUCAUUAAUCAAGAACGAAAGUUAGGGGAUCGAAGACGAUCAGAUACCGUCGUAGUCUUAACCAUAAACUAUGCCGACUAGGGAUCGGAUGAUGUU
rnacentral:rRNA from 1 species